rnacentral:rRNA from 1 species
GACGAACGCUGGCGGCGUGCUUAACACAUGCAAGUCGAACGCUGAAGCUCAGCUUUUGUUGGGUGGAUGAGUGGCGAACGGGUGAGUAACACGUGAGUAACCUGCCCCCUUCUUUGGGAUAACGCCCGGAAACGGGUGCUAAUACUGGAUAUUCACUGGUCUUCGCAUGGGGGUUGGUGGAAAGGGUUUUUCUGGUGGGGGAUGGGCGCGCGGCCUAUCAGCUUGUUGGUGGGGUGAUGGCCUACCAAGGCUUUGACGGGUAGCCGGCCUGAGAGGGUGACCGGUCACAUUGGGACUGAGAUACGGCCCAGACUCCUACGGGAGGCAGCAGUGGGGAAUAUUGCACAAUGGGCGCAAGCCUGAUGCAGCGACGCCGCGUGAGGGAUGGAGGCCUUCGGGUUGUGAACCUCUUUCGCUCAUGGUCAAGCCGCAACAAUGGUUGUGGUGAGGGUAGUGGGUAAAGAAGCGCCGGCUAACUACGUG